CUUGAUUUUUGAGUGGUGCCUUUGACUCUGUCAUUCAGUCAACAGAUGUUUACUGAAUACUAUGUGGAGGUUGGAAGUACCAGGAACUAGCAGGGGACACUUGGGGUGGCUGUCACUCUUGAACCUAAAGGCCUGGAUUCAGAGCCCAACUCCACGCCCACGUGCACUGUUUACUGACCACAUUAUCACAGGUGAGCCAUUACCCCUGCCCUGGAUAAAUGGCCAGCAGAGGCUGAGAAGUUUAUGCUUUCUGGGGCUGACAUCCAUCAACAGGCUGGACGAGGCGUCCUGAGCUGUUUAUCUAUAAAAUGUUGUGAGGGUGAAGGUCCUAUGAAAUGAUGCGAAGUAUUAUCACCUUCAUUUGUCGGCAGAUAGCAUCCCAGGUGCUGGCGAGAGAAAAAUAAAACAACCACCUGCCCUCGUAGCCCUCUCGGGAGAGCAGGGAGUGUGGAGAGCCCUGCCGGGUCCCCGUUGGGCCCAAGAAGCUUGUAUUUGUAAUGCCAUGAAGUUACUGGAAUUCUAGCGAGUUAAUGCCAACCUACCACUUCCCAGUGCAACCCGUGGUGAAAAUCAAGACCCUGAGGCACAUCUGUAGUUAUGGGGAGCCAGGGGGUCCAAAGUCCAGGCACCAUGAUGGCUAUCAGGAACGAAGGCCUCCGCCCUUGGCCAAGCCUGGGCUUUAUUAAUUCUGAAGAAAGCAGUGGCUUGAGGAUGAGGGACUGUGAGACUGGCAGGCAGUAGGUGAGGGCUGCGAGCUGGGCUGGGUGGAAGGCCCGAAGCCACCUCUGCGAGAUGCAGAGAGAGGGCCGUGCAGAGGGAGUAACCUGCAUAGCACAACUGAGGUAGCGCCUAACGUUUUGGGGCUGGCCCUUCAGCUCUGAGGUGCAGUCUUUCAAGCCCCAGGAAGUCACAGCCUCUCCUAUCUCCAGGCCCCACUCCAGCUGACAGCAUGGAGUAUCGGCUCUUCACCCCACCUGUCUGGGCUCACAGAAGAAAACAGUGGCGAUUCUGAGGAGAUACUGUCUACCCAGACUAGCAUCAGCUCCCCAGCUGAACCAAUAUGCACUGGUUAAAGCCAAUUAAAGGGAUAAGGAAUCUGAGGCCCGAGAGGAGACCCUUUCACACUGUCAGGAAUACAAAUGAGGCUGGGGAGUAGAGUGGAGAGGACACGACUCCAGAGGGCCUUCUUCACAGAAUGAGCCAAAAGGAAGACAGAAUUGGCGAGGCAGUGGGGGAGCUGGGCAGUCAUCCAUUAACAGUCUUGUCUGCCUGGAACUGGGCCCUGGGAAGGCUCUCCCUGCUUCUUCAGCCAGACCCCUGCCCUUGCUGCUAUCCCCCUAACCUGGUCUGUCCCAGUGCUCCCCGCUAUCACUUCCUGCUGGGCUCCCUCCAAAGACCAGCCUUGUGAGAUGGCAUGAGUGCACGGGUCAACCCAAGCCACUGGCCUGGGCUAGCAGGUGGCACAGCUGGGGGUGGGGUGGGGUGGGGACAGGAGAUGGGGUAGCAUCUCCCUAAGUAUGUUCCACAGGGAGGUUGCACUCAGCGCCUUUAGACUGCUUGAAAAAGGAGCUGGAGCUUCUUGAGACCAUCUGAGGGGAAACAUCAUUUCCCUCCCUUGGUGCACAGAAGGGGAACCACCGAGACCGAGCGAGCAGCCUGCCAGCUGGAAAAAGCCCUGGAGAAGACCUCAGGUCAGCCUCCUGCCCCAGCACCCACAGUGGUCUGCGCGGCCCACAGGUUUUCCUUGUGGUCCAGCGAGCCAUGAAUAAGUAGAUCUGGCCAACUGCAUCCCGGAGAGACCCACCUGCCAUGAUCACCUCCUGAGACGAUGCCCUUACUGCAGCUCUCGUGACCUAAAUCCUGGGACUACUGAAAAGCUGCAGGAAGGCUGGACUUAAGGACCUGUCGCCUCGUCCUGCCUCACUUGCACUUGCUGAGGGCUACAGCAGGUCGCAGGGGCUUUCUGACCAUCUGCACCACUGCUUUGCUCUUUCCAGGGCCACCGGCUCAACUGUGGCUUUCCACAGUAGGCAGUGUGGGGCUACAGCAGGUGCCACAGCAGGGCCACCAUCCGAGGGCCUCAACCGUAAGCAAGGGACUUGGGCUCCGAGUCCAGCCAUCCUGGUUCUAGCGGCAGCACACGCAGUGACAGCCACCCCACCGGUGGCCUCCCACUUCCCUUAGGCUGUCACUUCAGAGCCGAUGUGGGGUCUCCUCCGAGACAGCUCCCUAAGUUGGGCACGUUUUCCUCAUCCCUUCCCUGACAAAGCAGCAAAUGCUGGCCCUGUCUGCCAGGGUGAUGCCACCACUGUGCUGUGUGCUGGAGCAAAAACCCUUGGGGGACGCCCUUCCCAGACAUGCCCAUCAGCGCCACUUCUGGUCACUGGGCUCCGGGUGCCUUCUGGCCUCGAGACAUGGAGCUGACCACCUCUGAGCCCCAACACCCUCAGAGCUGCUGUGCUCAACUGGAAACUGUUUCCCUUGCCCUUGCUGAUAACGCUGUUUUGCAUUUAUCUUCUGGCUGCUCCAUGUGUGGUUGCCCUUCCUGCCUAGAUAAUGACGUCAAGGCCAAGCUGACUAAACAAGAGGCAAAGGCAGGCAUCUGCGCCUUGCAUCAUCUGAGUCUUUCAAAAUCUCCCACUUCCACAUAUCAAUCCCCAUCCUCCUCAAAGAAUUUAUUAGGAAUUGAUGCACACACAGGGUGUGGCCUCUUCCUGGGAGACGGAAGAAGUGUCAUCUAAAACCUCUGUGGGCCACUUCCACAAAGGCCUCACAUUUGGUUUUGGGGGCACUUCCCGAAAGCUGGGGUGGGAAGGAAUGUGGAGCAGGGGUGCAAACAGGGCAGCACAAACUCAGGUGGGAAACCAACAGACCUGGAGAGCACAGGCACGUGACAGAGCCCUCAGCAUCCCCCUGGAGUGGCUGUCAC